rnacentral:rRNA from 1 species
GAUGAACGCUGGCGGCGUGCCUAACACAUGCAAGUCGAGCGAGGGUUUGCUCAGUAUUGAGUAUUCUAAGUCUAGAAUGUUCAAUUCUGAGCAAAACCAAGCGGCGGACGGGUGAGUAACGCGUGGGUAACCUGCCCUAUACACAUGGAUAACAUACUGAAAAGUUUACUAAUACAUGAUAAUAUAUAUUUGCGGCAUCGCAGAUAUAUCAAAGUGUUAGCGGUAUAGGAUGGACCCGCGUCUGAUUAGCUAGUUGGUGAGAUAACUGCCCACCAAGGCGACGAUCAGUAGCCGACCUGAGAGGGUGAUCGGCCACAUUGGAACUGAGACACGGUCCAAACUCCUACGGGAGGCAGCAGUGGGGAAUAUUGCACAAUGGGCGAAAGCCUGAUGCAGCAACGCCGCGUGAACGAUGAAGGUCUUCGGAUCGUAAAGUUCUGUUGCAGGGGAAGAUAAUGACGGUACCCUGUGAGGAAGCCCCGG